rnacentral:misc_RNA from 1 species
CAAAUGAAGACCAAGAUGGCUCAAAUGAAGUUUCCCAUAAGAAUGACAAGGGCACUACUGAGAUGGUGCAAGAUUUUUUUUGCUAAUAUGUCCAGUGUAAGUGUGGACUUUGAGGAGGAGAAUGAUAGAGAUGUAGAAGGCAUAAACCAUGGAACUGAAAUUUCUUGGAAUAGUGGCAAUGAAAUGGGAUUGCUAAUUCAAAAAGGAAAGACAAGGGGUUUUGAUGUUAAGAAGGAGAAUGAUCUUCGUGUUGAUGCAGCAAUUUUUCAUAGUGAUGGAGAAGAGGAAGAGGUUGAUAUUAUU